GACGAACGCUGGCGGCGUGCCUAAUACAUGCAAGUCUAACGAUAGCGACCGGUGCUUGCACUGGUCAAUCUAGUGGCGCACGGGUGAGUAACACGUGGGUAACCUGCCCAUCAGAGGGGGAUAACAUUCGGAAACGGAUGCUAAAACCGCAUAGGUCUUCGAACCGCAUGGUUUGAAGAGGAAAAGAGGCGCAAGCUUCUGCUGAUGUAUGGACCCGCGGUGCAUUAGCUAGUUGGUGCGGUAACGGCUCACCAAGGCCGUGAUGCAUAGCCGACCUGCGAGGGUGAUCGCGAACAUUAGGACUGAGGCACGGCCCAAACACCUACGGGAGGCAGCAGUAGAGAAUCUUCCGAAAUGGACGCAAGUCUGACGGAGCAACGACGCGUGAGUGAAGAAGGUUUUCGGAUCGUAAAACUCUGUGGUGAGAGAAGAACAAGUGCUAGAGUAACUGUUAGCGACUUGACGGUAUCUAACCAGAAAGCCACGGCUAACUACGUG
rnacentral:rRNA from 1 species